rnacentral:rRNA from 1 species
GUGGACGCCAGUCUGCAUGGAGCCGACCUUGAAAUACCACCCUUUAAUGUUUGAUGUUCUAACGUGGACCCGUUACCCGGGUUGCGGACAGUGUCUGGUGGGUAGUUUGACUGGGGCGGUCUCCUCCUAAAGAGUAACGGAGGAGCACGAAGGUUGGCUAAUCCUGGUCGGACAUCAGGAGGUUAGUGCAAUGGCAUAAGCCAGCUUGACUGCGAGCGUGACGGCGCGAGCAGGUGCGAAAGCAGGUCAUAGUGAUCCGGUGGUUCUGAAUGGAAGGGCCAUCGCUCAACGGAUAAAAGGUACUCCGGGGAUAACAGGCUGAUACCGCCCAAGAGUUCAUAUCGACGGCGGUGUUUGGCACCUCGAUGUCGGCUCAUCACAUCCUGGGGCUGAAGUAGGUCCCAAGGGUAUGGCUGUUCGCCAUUUAAAGUGGUACGCGAGCUGGGUUUAGAACGUCGUGAGACAGUUCGGUCCCUAUCUGCCGUGGGCGCUGGAGAACUGAGGGGGGCUGCUCCUAGUACGAGAGGACCGGAGUGGACGCAUCACUGGUGUUCGGGUUGUCAUGCCAAUGGCACUGCCCGGUAGCUAAAUGCGGAAGAGAUAAGUGCUGAAAGCAUCUAAGCACGAAACUUGCCCCGAGAUGAGUUCUCCCUGAGACUUAAAGUCUCCUGAAGGAACGUUGAAGACGACGACGUUGAUAGGCCGGGUGUGUAAGCGCAGCGAUGCGUUGAGCUAACCGGUACUAAUGAACCGUGAGGCUUAACCUU